GUCCGAGCGUCAUUUCAACCCUCAAGCACAGCUUGGUCUUGGGCUUCGCUGCUAACCCAGCGGGUCUUAAAAUCAGUGGCGGUGCGUCGGGCCCUGAGCGUAGUACACUCCCUCGCUAUAGGGUCCCGCGGGCGCUGGCCAUCAACCCCCAAUUUUCUAUGGUUGACCUCGGAUCAGGUAGGGAUACCCGCUGAACUUAA
rnacentral:misc_RNA from 1 species